rnacentral:rRNA from 1 species
AUUGAACGCUGGCGGCAUGCCUUACACAUGCAAGUCGAACAGCAGCACGGGUGCUUGCACCUGGUGGCGAGUGGCGAACGGGUGAGUAAUACAUCGGAACGUACCUUAUCGUGGGGGAUAACGCAGCGAAAGCUGUGCUAAUACCGCAUACGCCCUGAGGGGGAAAGCGGGGGAUCGAAAGACCUCGCGCGAUUAGAGCGGCCGAUGCCUGAUUAGCUUGUUGGUGGGGUAAAAGCCCACCAAGGCGACGAUCAGUAGCUGGUCUGAGAGGACGAUCAGCCACACUGGGACUGAGACAAGGCCCAGACUCCUACGGGAGGCAGCAGUGGGGAAUUUUGGACAAUGGGGGCAACCCUGAUCCAGCAAUGCCGCGUGAGUGAAGAAGGCCUUCGGGUUGUAAAGCUCUUUCGUCAGGGAAGAAACACCGGCUCUAACACAGUCCGGGAAUGACGGUACCUGAAGAAGAAGCCCCGGCUAACUUCGUGCCAGCAGCCGCCGCCG